GUCCAGACUCCUACGGGAGGCAGCAGUGGGGAAUAUUGCACAAUGGGGGAAACCCUGAUGCAGCGACGCCGCGUGAGUGAAGAAGUAUUUCGGUAUGUAAAGCUCUAUCAGCAGGGAAGAAAAUGACGGUACCUGAUUAAGAAGCCCCGGCUAACUACGUGCCAGCAGCCGCGGUAAUACGUAGGGGGCAAGCGUUAUCCGGAUUUACUGGGUGUAAAGGGAGCGUAGACGGCAGCACAAGUCUGGAGUGAAAGCCCGGGGCCCAACCCCGGGACUGCUUUGGAAACUGCCAUGCUAGAGUGCUGGAGAGGUAAGCGGAAUUCCUAGUGUAGCGGUGAAAUGCGUAGAUAUUAGGAGGAACACCAGUGGCGAAGGCGGCUUACUGGACAGUAACUGACGUUGAGGCUCGAAAGCGUGGGGAGCAAACAGGAUUAGAUACCCCCGUAA
rnacentral:rRNA from 1 species